rnacentral:rRNA from 1 species
CUCAGGAUGAACGCUAGCGGCAGGCUAACACAUGCAAGUCGAGGGGCAUCGGGAGUAGCAAUACUGCCGGCGACCGGCGCAAGGGUGCGUAACGCGUGAGCAACAUGCCCGUAUCAGGGGGGAUAAUCCAUGGAAACGUGGUCUAAUACCCCAUAGUAAUUAUGUAAGGCAUCUUAUAUAAUUUAAAGCUUUGGUGGAUACGGAUUGGCUCGCGUGACAUUAGCUGGAUGGUAAGGUAACGGCUUACCAUGGCUACGAUGUCUAGGGGUUCUGAGAGGAAGGUCCCCCACACUGGAACUGAGACACGGUCCAGACUCCUACGGGAGGCAGCAGUGAGGAAUAUUGGACAAUGGAUGGAAAUCUGAUCCAGCCAUGCCGCGUGCAGGAAGACGGCCCUAUGGGUUGUAAACUGCUUUUGUAUGGGAGCAAUAAGGGCUACGUGUAGUCCGAUGAGAGUACCAUACGAAUAAGCACCGGCUAACUCCGUGCCAGCAGCCGC